GCAGUUUUCCGUUUUUUUCGGAAAGGGCAGUUUUGUUUUUUUGUAUAGAAGCGAGCACCUCUGCCUCUCCCGAUACCGAGUACGCCGGGCUUUGCUGGGCCCGGAAGGAAGUCUUUGAAGAGUAGUUUUCAGUGCUCCUACAGAUUGCAUUUUGUUUUUGCUAAGAAACUCCGAAGUGACCUGUAGCAACCCGUGGCUGAUGCAAGAGAACGACAAAGAUUGAGUCCUCAUUUGGGUGGGAAACCUUCAGUUGAAAAGGAUCCAGGGCACUUAAAAUCCUGGUAAAAUGGACAGGAUUCAUUUGACAAAGGAGUCUUUAAUGUCCUAUCCAGCUGCCAAAACAACAGCAACGUGGAACCAAACCCAUGAAUUCAAGGGAUGAAAGCGUGAGCUGACUCGAGAUGUGCUGCCCGCUUCUUGGUUAAACAUACUCACUGUGAGGUCUGACAGCCUGACUUUGAAUCCGGGCCUUCCUCCAUCACAAGCCUAAGUAAGUCCCCUUAUGCUGGGCUGCACCCAGCAGGCCUGCAAGCACUGUACUUGCCCAGCCUCAAGACCGAAGGAAGAGACCAGAGU